GGGAGGGGUGUAUUUAUUAGAUAAAAAACCAACGCCCUUUCGGGGCUCCUUGGUGAAUCAUAAUAACUUAACGAAUCGCAUGGCCUUGCGCCGGCGAUGGUUCAUUCAAAUUUCUGCCCUAUCAACUUUCGAUGGUAGGAUAGUGGCCUACCAUGGUGGCAACGGGUAACGGGGAAUUAGGGUUCGAUUCCGGAGAGGGAGCCUGAGAAACGGCUACCACAUCUUAGGAAGGCAGCAGGCGCGCAAAUUACCCAAUCCCGACACGGGGAGGUAGUGACAAUAAAUACUGAUACGGGGCUCUUUUGGGUCUCGUAAUUGGAAUGAGAGCAAUUUAAAUCCCUCACCGAGGAACAAUUGGAGGGCAAGUCUGGUGCCAGCAGCCGCGGUAAUUCCAGCUCCAAUAGCGUAUAUUGGAGUUGUUGCAGUUAAAAAGCUCGUAGUUGAACCUUGGGCAAGGCUGGCCGGUCCGCCUCACCGCGAGUACUGGUCCGGCUGGGCCUUUCCUUCUGGGGAACCCCAUGGCCUUCACUGGCUGUGGGGGGAACCAGGACUUUUAC
rnacentral:rRNA from 1 species